rnacentral:rRNA from 1 species
CAGUCGCCGCGGUAAUACGAAGGGGGCUAGCGUUGCUCGGAAUCACUGGGCGUAAAGGGUGCGUAGGCGGGUCUUUAAGUCAGAGGUGAAAUCCUGGAGCUCAACUCCAGAACUGCCUUUGAUACUGAGGAUCUUGAGUUCGGGAGAGGUGAGUGGAACUGCGAGUGUAGAGGUGAAAUUCGUAGAUAUUCGCAAGAACACCAGUGGCGAAGGCGGCUCACUGGCCCGAUACUGACGCUGAGGCACGAAAGCGUGGGGAGCAAACAGGAUUAGAUACCCCGGUAGUCCCUGUCUCUUAUAA